GAUUGGAGGGCACUUGCUGCAUUUUGGUCAGGUGUGUAACCUGUGGAACGGGUGUGUUUCCUAGGAGAAAACAUUCUGGAGUGGCAGAAUGGUUGCCACAGACACCAUGUGAGUGCCACACCACGGCGUGAGCCUCCAGGCCCUGCAAGUCCUCCCCCAGACUUGGUCAAGUGUGAACUGACUGCUGGGAGUAAGGAUAUGUCUGGAAUAUG